rnacentral:tRNA from 1 species
GCCUGGCUGGUUCAGUUGGUAGAGCAUGUGACUCCUGAGCUUGGGGCUGUGAGUUCAAGCCUCAUGUUGGGCA